UCAUGGGACUUUUGUGGGUUUGGCCAGAGGGUGGGAUGGGCCCUAAGGCAGAGAAUUGAAGUGACUCUUCUGCUGGGUCUGUUUCGUCUUCACACACACAAAGUGGGCCUGGGUGAGGGCUGACAGGUGAGGACUGAGGGGAGAUAGAUUGGGUUCAGUCAAUAGAGACGCAGAAGUGCAGUGGUUUGGGGAAGGAAGAUGGUGUAGUUCAACCUCAUGGUCUUCCAAUCUAGGAAGCGGAGAUCCAGAGGACCCACAGCUGGUGGGGGCAGAAGCAGUCAGUCUUGGUGCUCGUGCUAAGUCAUCAGAGAGGCCUUCCUUCAUUGUUUAGCCACCACGGUCCCCUCCUGCCCUGCCCACACUGUUGGUUUCUAACACAUUGCCUGUCUGCACAAGAAAAGCAAGGCCCUGGAGAACAUCUUUGGCCCCAGGAAUAGCAGCCUGCAAAGUGCAGAUGGGGAUCUAGGGCUUCUACCUUGACAUUUGGAUCAUAGAGAGUGGAGACCAAACAAUCCCAUCUAUGAAGAGAUAAAGAGACUGAACUUCAGCAUGGAGCGCUGCAUCAGUGUCUGUCUUUGAAGGAUAUUGAGACGACAGAUUUGGAGGACCAGGUACACCAAAACACCACUUCCCUCAAGAACAGCAUGACCAUCCAUUGCUGAAACAACCCAUGUACCUUUUUUUGAAAUAU
rnacentral:lncRNA from 1 species